CGACCGGCGCACGGGUGAGUAACGCGUAUGCAACCUGCCCGUUUCAGCGGGAUAACCCGGAGAAAUCCGGCCUAAUACCGCAUGUGGCCGAGGGGAGGCAUCUUCUUUCGGCCAAAGGAGGCAACUCCGGAGACGGAUGGGCAUGCGUGACAUUAGCUUGUUGGCGGGGUAACGGCCCACCAAGGCGACGAUGUCUAGGGGUUCUGAGAGGAAGGUCCCCCACACUGGUACUGAGACACGGACCAGACUCCUACGGGAGGCAGCAG
rnacentral:rRNA from 1 species